UCCAAAAUUUAAAAUUUUUGAAAAUUAUUCCUUCUGAAAAUAUCAUCGCGUUCUUGACCUCGAAGCUGACUGCUGAAUGCGAUUAGGAAAGAAAAUUCCUGAAGAUACACCAGACUGAUUCUGGCAAGCCGUCUGUCGUCUAGAUAUGCAGUUGUUCGUCAUGCAUGGCCAGCAAUCUUCCUCGUUCGUCCUUUCGUUUUCCUGACCACGAUGAUGACAAGCAGCUCUCAUGCUCAGGAUUCUGAAAGCUGGAGCAGCUCUGCUUACCUCGACCACUGAACUUACAACUAACUUCCAACCAAGUACAAGGCAAUAUUAUGAUGAAUCAAGCACGCUUGCCAUCAUGUCAUCAUUGCAAAGUACAUCGACAACAUAGAUUUGGCGCCGACUAUGUAUGAUGUAGAGUGUGCUCUAUGUAUUUAUACUACUGAUUGGCCUACAUUGUACUUAUGUGGGCUGAGAGUAAUCGAUUGUGCUAUAUGGCAGUUUACUUGUAUGUCAUAGAUGUUAACAUUGCACACAGCUUCUGAAAUGCUUUCUGUUGCACUGGCCUACUGCGGCCCACUGCAAAUAGAUUGUAGUGGCAUGGGCCAUGCCAUAAUUAUAGUAGUAUACCGGUACUACACCAACAAUUUCACUGGUGCACUGUACUUACUGGUACGAGUAGAUCUACAUCAUGCACAGCCUUGUCACUGCUUUUCUCAUUUUUUAUUAAUUUACUGUACUGUACACAUUUUGGCACAGCUCUUCCACAAAGAGUUACUAGUAUUUUCUUCUGCAUACCUACUGUAUACAGUGACCUGACUGGUAACAUCUAUGGCUGUGAAAUCACAAAUUUCUGGGUUGACAGCCUCGAACCUAUACGAUUUGUUUCUAAGAACGUGCUAUAAGAAAUUUUCUAUUGAAGUAUUCUACUGUAGCUCGCAGGACAUGGAGUGCAAUUACGUAAAGUUUGGAACACCA